AGCGCAGGCGGUUUUUUAAGUCUGAUGUGAAAGCCUUCGGCUCAACCGAAGAAGUGCAUCGGAAACUGGGAAACUUGAGUGCAGAAGAGGACAGUGGAACUCCAUGUGUAGCGGUGAAAUGCGUAGAUAUAUGGAAGAACACCAGUGGCGAAGGCGGCUGUCUGGUCUGUAGCUGACGCUGAGGCUCAAAGUAUGGUAGCAAACA
rnacentral:rRNA from 1 species